rnacentral:rRNA from 1 species
GAAUAUUGCACAAUGGACGGAAGUCUGAUGCAGCGACGCCGCGUGGAUGAAGAAGGCCCUCGGGUUGUAAAAUCCUUUACAGGGGGAAGAGGAAGGACGGUACCCCUGGAACAAGUGUCGGCUAACUACGUGCCAGCAGCCGCGGUAAGACGUAGGACACAAGCGUUAUCCGGAUUUACUGGGCGUAAAGCGUCUGCAGGCGGACAGGUAAGUUGGGCGUGAAAGCUCCGGGCCCAACCCGGAGAGGUCGUUCAAUACUGCGUGUCUAGAGGGUGUCAGAGGGGAGUGGAAUUUCCGGAGUAGCGGUAAAAUGCGCAGAGAUCGGAAAGAACACCAAUGGCGAAGGCAGCUCCCUGGGGCAACCCUGACGCUAAGAGACGAAAGCUAGGGGAGCGAACAGGAUUAGAGACCCUGGUAGUCCUAGCCCUAAACGAUGGAUGCUGGAUGUGGGGCCAUAGCGCUCCGUGUCGAAGCGAACGCGUUAAGCAUCCCGAAUGGGGACUACGGCCGCAAGGUUAAAACUCAAACGAAUUGACGGGACCCCGCACAAGCAGCGGAGCGUGUGGUUUAAUUCGAUGCUACACGAAGAACCUUACCUGGGUUUGACAUCUAGGUGGUAGUGAAGCGAAAGCGGAGCGACCCUUCGGGGAGCCUAGACAGGUGCUGCAUGGCUG